CAGGCCUAACACAUGCAAGUCGAACGGGAGCACAGGAGAGCUUGCUCUCUGGGUGAGCGGCGGACGGGUGAGUAACGCGUGGGUAACCUGCCCUAUACACACAGAUAACGUACCGAAAGGUACGCUAAUACGGGAUAAAGUUGUUGGAUGGCAUCUUCUAACAAUCAAAGCUCCGGCGGUAUAGGAUGGACCCGCGUCUGAUUAGCUAGUUGGUGAGGUAAUGGCUCACCAAGGCGACGAUCAGUAGCCGACCUGAGAGGGUGAUCGGCCACACUGGAACUGAGACACGGUCCAGACUCCUACGGGAGGCAGCAGUGGGGAAUAUUGCACAAUGGGCGAAAGCCUGAUGCAGCAACGCCGCGUGAGCGAUGAAGGUCUUCGGAUCGUAAAGCUCUGUCCUCAAGGAAGAUAAUGACGGUACUUGAGGAGGAAGCCCCGGCUAACUACGUGCCAGCAGCCGCAGUAA
rnacentral:rRNA from 1 species